GAGGGAGGGGGGAGGUGCUGUGCGAGCCUGUGAGACCGAGCUGACCCGGGGUCGUGCAGAUGGGCUUUCUUCCUCCCGGAAAAAGUCACUGAUGCAGGGGUUUAAAAAAGGAAUCUGGAACCGUCAGGCUUUCGCUUUUUACAAAUGGAUAGUUUGAGAUCAUAAAAAGCCUCAGGAAUGAUCCCUGCGGAGCCUCACGCGGUGGUUUGAUGGCCGAGGGUCACCGCGAGAUAUUGCGUGUGAACCCGGAGCAGAGCCCUGGUCGGUCCCAAGGCCAGGACUUUCCUGACCUCACGGAGACGGUGGUUGCAUAUUGUUGUGUGGAGGAGGAGGUGGUGCCCGGGGAGCCCCCGGCUCUAUUGUCGAACUCAGAACGGUAUUUUUAAUCCACAUGUGUUUUAUGUUGUAGGGAGAAGAAGCUGACUACAUGAAAACAUGAAGUCAAAUAGAAGCCCACUUGUUAUUAUUUCAAGCCAGGGAAGUAAAAGUGAACCACUGCUGUCUUUACCCAGUAAUAUCCCGGGUUUUAUUACUGGAAACACCCAGUUUUUCUAAUACUCAUUAUGUCAGAAGAGAAAUCUCCUGCAAAGAAAAGACCUCGUAGAAGUUUAUCAAUCAGUAAAACUAAAAAAAAUGAGUAUAACUCCAUUAUUUCUUUUUUUAACAAUGCACCACCUGCUAAACUUGCCUGCCCUGUUUGUAGUAAAAUGGUGCCAAGGUAUGACUUAAACCAGCAUCUUGAUGAAAAGUGUGUUAGUGUUAACAGUGAUGACAUUACUCCAGUUGAUCUGAGGCAUGUUGGCUUAAUGAAUUCAGAUGUGUCCACAGUAAAUUUAACCAAUGUUGUCUUAGAAGAUGUAACACCGGGAAAGUUGUCACCGUCAAAGACGGGUUUAAUCCCUGACCAAAGUAAUUCCAUAAAAAUGGUCAAAAGACAGCAGACCAGCCCUUACUUUAAAAAUAAUGAUAAAUUGAUGUGCAAAAAUCAAGAUAAGCAGAGACAUCAUAAUGUGAAAGUCAUUACUCUGGGAAGCCUGUCAUCUAAAUUGUCCAGAAGAUACGCAGAAGCUAAAAAAUCAAUAUGUAAGAAUAAUGAGGAAUUUGCCAAUAAGAGUCCACAGAGUUCCUUAUCCACAGUGGGUAGGAACCUGGUUGACAACUGUUCAGAGAUUGAGGACAAGGAUCAAAUUUUGGAGAAUAGUUCUCAAAAGGAAAACGUAUUUACCUGUGACUCUCUUGAGGAGCAGAGAAUUUCUGAACAUAGUGUAGAAGGCACUAAAAUACUGGAAACUGAAAGCCAAAAGGCUACCCAGGAAUGUGGGCGAUCAUCCCUCACCCCUGCCUUCUCAGAUAAUGCUUCUGUGUUAUUUUCACCAGAUUUAACUCUUGGGAAUCCAGUGGAGUCUACUUCAGAGGAAAGUCUUGCAAAGUGGGAGAGUAUCACAGGAGUAGAUGAUAAAGAUGUUGAAAAAUGUGAGGCAGGUAGUUGUGAAGAAGAAAAAAUGACUGUUGCUUCAGAAGCUAAAACCCAGUUGUUAAACUGGGAGACAAAAUCUCCUAGUUCUGCACAUGAUGUUUCUAAAGGCUGUAACAUCCAUGUCCUUCCUCUGGAAGGUGAUAGUGACCUAAAGAAUGAAAUUACUUGCAGAAUUACUUCAGAGCAGGGGUCAAGCUAUGAUGUUCCUGAUGAAACAAGAACAGUACCACCAAAUCAUCCUUACUACCUUCGGAGUUUCCUGGUGGUGCUGAAAGCUGUAUUUGAGAAUGAAGAGGAUAGGAUGCUCUUCGAUGAACAUGAGAAGGAAAUUGUAACUAAAUUCUAUCAAUUAUCAGCUAGUGGUCAGAAGUUAUAUGUAAGACUUUUUCAACGUAAAUUCAGCUGGAUUAAAAUGAGUAAAUUGGAAUAUGAAGAGAUUGCCCCUGAUUUAACACCUGUGAUUGGAGAAUUGCAGCAAGCAGGCUUUCUGCAGACAGAGUCUGAGUUGCAAGAGCUCUCUGAAGUACUUGAACUGCUUUCUGCUCCUGAACUGAAAACCCUGGCAAAGGCCUUCCACUUGGUGAAUCCCAAUGGACAGAAACAGCAGCUGGUGGACAACUUCCUCAAAUUGGCCAAACAGCCUUCAGUCUGCACUUGGGGCAAGAAUCAGCCUGGAAUCGGUGCAGUGAUUUUAAAAAGAGCUAAAGCCUUGGCGGGACAGUCACUGAGAGUCUGUAAAGGUCCUCGAGCUAUUUUUUCCCGGGUCUUGCUGCUUUUUUCCCUGACGGACUCACUGGAAGAUGAGGAAGCCGCCUGUGGUGGUCAGGGACAGCUUUCGACUGUGCUUUUGGUCAAUCUUGGCCGAAUGGAGUUUCCUAGGUACACCAUCAAUCGGAAAACCCAGAUCUUCCAAGACAAAGACGAUCUCAUCAGAUAUGCAGCCGCCGCACACAUGCUGAGUGACAUUUCUACUGCAAUGGCCAAUGGGAACUGGAAAGAAGCUAAGGAGCUCUCUCAGUGUGCAAAAAGUGAUUGGAACAAACUGAAAAGCCACCCUUCCUUGAGAUACCAUGAGAAUUUACCACUCUUUCUGCGCUGUUUUACCGUUGGGUGGAUUUAUACAAGGAUUUUGUCUCGGACUGUUGAGAUACUGCAGCGACUUCACAUGUAUGAGGAAGCAGUCAAGGAACUUGAAAGCCUCUUGUCCCAGAGAGUGUAUUGUCCUGACAGCAGAGGCCGGUGGUGGGAUAGACUAGCUCUCAACUUACACCAGCACUUGAAACGCCUUGAACCGGCUAUUAAGUGCAUCACAGAAGGGCUGGCAGAUCCAGAAGUAAGAACAGGACAUCGUCUUUCACUUUAUCAGAGAGCUUUGCGCCUGAGAGAGUCUCCAAGCUGUCAAAAGUAUAGGCACCUCUUCCAUCAGCUACCAGAAAUAACCGUGGAUGAUGUUAAACAUGUGACCAUCACGGGCCGGCUGUGCCCGCAGCACGGAAUGGGCAAGUCUGUGUUUGUGAUGGAAGCUGAGGGACCCACUGCUCCUGCUAUGGUCCUGUGCUCCGUGGAGGAAGUGGCGCUGGCCUAUUACAGACGCAGUGGCUUCGACCAGGGGAUUCAUGGGGAAGGGUCCACUUUCAGCACGCUGUAUGGCCUCCUCCUGUGGGAUAUAAUCUUCAUGGAUGGGAUACCUGACGUCUUCAGAAACGCCUACCAGGUGCUCAAGUUACGCUAUGUCCGGCGUGUGCUUUUUAGGCAUUCCCAUUGGACUUGUGUACAGACAGCUUCUUCGCAAGCCGUGGGCCGGCCAUCGAGGCCAGGCUGCAGCUGAUUCACAGUGCCCCUGCGGAGAGCCUGCGAGCCUGGGUGGCAGCCGCGUGGCAGGCCCAGGAAGGCAGAGUGGCUUCCAUUGUCAGCUGGGAUCGCUUUGCUUCUCUUCAGCAAGCUCAGGAUCUUGUUUCCUGCUUGGGCGGCCCUGUCCUCAGUGGUGUGUGCAGGCGCCUGGCUGUGGACUUCCGACACUGCCGAGGUGGCCUCCCGGACCUGGUGGUGUGGAACUCCCAGAGUCAUCGUGUUAAGCUGGUGGAAGUUAAAGGCCCCAAUGAUCGCCUUUCACAUAAGCAGAUGAUCUGGUUGGAUGAGCUGCAGAAGUUGGGGGCCGAAGUAGAAGUCUGCCACGUGGUUGCAGUUGGAGCAAAGAGCAAAAGCCUUUCCUAACUAAGAGCUGUGGUGUCGGGGUGUCUGGUUGUACUUGGACUGAUUUUCAGAAGCAUAAAGCAUGAUUACAUUUUUAACUUUGAUUUUGCUUUGUCAGUAAUAAACAAGAUCAUCGUUGUACAGUGUGUGCAUCAUAAAA